rnacentral:rRNA from 1 species
UACGAAGGGGGCUAGCGUUGCUCGGAAUCACUGGGCGUAAAGGGUGCGUAGGCGGGUCUUUAAGUCAGGGUGAAAUCCUGGAGCUCAACUCCAGAACUGCCUUUGAUACUGAAGAUCUUGAGUUCGGGAGAGGUGAGUGGAACUGCGAGUGUAGAGGUGAAAUUCGUAGAUAUUCGCAAGAACACCAGUGGCGAAGGCGGCUCACUGGCCCGAGUACUGACGCUGAGGCACGAAGCGUGGGAGCAACAG